CCCUCCCCAUCCUCUUGGGGGGGACACACACGCUCUUUUCUUCCCUCCCCCCGGGCGGAGGAUGCAGGAUCUCUGCCUAAGGACGGGGGCUCAUGUUGAUGCCUACAUAGCCUUCCCCUUCCGUUGAUGUCAGAUGCUCCAGCAGUCGGUGAACGUGGAGGUAUUUGUCUGAUGGGCUUGUUUUCGUCUUCAGGGCAGGAGGAAGAUGUCUUCCGUCGCUCCCAUUGCCCGGGGUGUUUGUUUGUUUGUUUGUUUUAAAGACGAUGUCGGGGAGGAGGGAGAGGAGAGGAGAGGACGGUCUCCUUGGAGUCAGCAGAGGCGAGUUGCCCAGAGGUGUGGUGGGAAGUGGAUGGGGUCGGAGGGAGGUCGAGCGGAGGUGGAAAGCAUAUGUGUGUGUGUGUGUGUGUGUGAGAGCGAGAGCGAGCUAGGGGGCUUUUGCUUUGUGUUCUUUUGCCCGGAGGGACCUCCCCUGACUCCCCUACCCAUCCACCCACCCACCCCUGUGAGCAUGUUGUUGUCUACAGUCUGCCUGCCUGUCUGUCAGCCAGGAAGAUGUAGAGGCGAAGCGGCGGUGACUGGAAUGAAGCUUUGUGUCGGGGAGGCGAAAGGGGUUUGCAGCAAAACUGCCCGCCUUUCCUCUUCUCCUCACCAUCUAAGGAAUUUUCUUAGAGACUGGAGCAUUACUAAGAUGCAACCUGGUGAAUUGGAAGCAUCCAAGGAUUCCCAGCUUUGAAUGACAGGUGCCAUAAAAGACUACCAUAGCUAAACUGUGAAGCCUGACUCAACCUAAAUUGCAAAACUGAAGGAAAGAAAGUCCGUGCAUAACAGAUGUAUGUGUGUGUCUCUCUCACUGUGUGUGUAUAUAUAAUACACACAGAGAAAGAUUAUCAUAGCCAGACAGACCAGCACUUCUCUGAUUUAGGGAUUGUGUGCAAUUGAUGGAAAUUUACUCAAGCAUCAGAUGGAACAACCUGUCAGCAUAAGGACCAAAAGCUCUUGGAAUAUCAUCUGGUACUAAUGGUCAGUUUUCCAUACAGUUUGCAGUGUGAGAAAAGAAUUUUAAGAAUCAGCAGAACACCCUCUGCACAGCAAAUGACACAAAUACCUCUAUGAAAUGAGGGCAUCUCUGAGUGGAGAGGAGAUCAAUAUUGUCAUCAUCAUAAGAGGAAUAAUGUUCAAGCCUUCCAUACUUUUCAGUUCAAUUUGAACGUGCUUGCUAAGUAAGUAGUGACAAGUAAUUGGGUAGUGAUGACUGGAAGAAAGCAAAUUCUGGAGCAGUGGGACUGAUCCAGGGUUUGAAUUUGAGAAGCUCUUUUAUCCCAGACUGAGCGUUGCAACUUUGUAAUCUGUUACUUUUUCCUCUCUGCCCUGCUUUUGUUUUUGUCCUAUUUCUUGACAAUGUGGUACAAGUACUGAUAAAUAUUUGCUCAUAAAAAUUCCUUGAGACAUUUGGAACAUUUUUUUUAAAAAGAUGUUUUAACAUCUGCAAAUGUGUUGAUUAGAAUUAUGUCUCUGUGCUGUAGAAAAGCACCAAAAAGGACAGGGCAUAUUGGACAAGCAAAGGGACAACCCAGGAAACAAUAAAAGGAAGUGGAAGUUGCA
ensembl:lncRNA